rnacentral:rRNA from 1 species
AGACGUCUACAUUAGAUACCCCGGUAGUCCUAGCCGUAAACGAUACUCGCUAGGUGUCGGCCACGGUGCGACCGUUGUCGGUGCCGUAGGGAAGCCGUGAAGCGAGCCACCUGGGAAGUACGGCCGCAAGGCUGAAACUUAAAGGAAUUGGCGGGGGAGCACCACAACGGGUGGGCCUGCGGUUUAAUCGGACUCAACGCCGGGAAUCUCACCGGAUAAGACAGCUGAAUGAUAGUCGGGAUGAAGACUCUACUUGACUAGCUG